rnacentral:rRNA from 1 species
AACGAACGCUGGCGGCAGCCUAACACAUGCAAGUCGAACGCUCUCUUCGGAGGGAGUGGCAGACGGGUGAGUAACACGUGGGAACCUACCCCUUGGUACGGAAUAACUGAUGGAAACGUUAGCUAAUACCGUAUGAGCGCUGAGGCGGAAAGAUUUAUCGCCAAGGGAUGGGCCCGCGUAGGAUUAGCUAGUUGGUGGGGUAAAGGCCUACCAAGGCGACGAUCCUUAGCUGGUCUGGGAGGAUGAUCAGCCACACGGGGACUGAGGACACGGCCCAGACUCCUACGGGAGGCAGCAGUGGGGAAUAUUGGACAAUGGGCGCAAGCCUGAUCCAGCCAUGCCGCGUGAGUGAUGAAGGCCUUAGGGUUGUAAAGCUCUUUCACCUGGGAAGAUAAUGACGGUACCAGGAGAAGAAGCCCCGGCUAACUUCGUGCCAGCAGCCGCCGUAACAC